rnacentral:tRNA from 1 species
ACCCUGGUGGCUCAAUGGUUAAGUGCUUGGCUGCUAACCUAAAGGUUGGUGGUUUGAACCCACCCCGCAGCU